ACGGGGUGGAUGAGUGGCGAACGGGUGAGUAACACGUGAGUAACCUGCCCCCGACUUCGGGAUAAGCCCGGGAAACUGGGUCUAAUACCGGAUAUGACGACCGAAGGCAUCUUUGGUUGUGGAAAGUUUUUUCGGUUGGGGAUGGGCUCGCGGCCUAUCAGUUUGUUGGUGAGGUAAUGGCUCACCAAGACGACGACGGGUAGCCGGCCUGAGAGGGCGACCGGCCACACUGGGACUGAGACACGGCCCAGACUCCUACGGGAGGCAGCAGUGGGGAAUAUUGCACAAUGGGGGAAACCCUGAUGCAGCGACGCAGCGUGCGGGAUGACGGCCUUCGGGUUGUAAACCGCUUUCAGCAGGGAAGAAGCCUUUCGGGGUGACGGUACCUGCAGAAGAAGUACCGGCUAACUACGUGCA
rnacentral:rRNA from 1 species